rnacentral:lncRNA from 1 species
CUUAAGUCUCUUUAGUGUCUUCAUCUAAUGCUUGAAUGUUGGUAAUCUCCUAUACUCGUUAUUGACAGUUGUCUUUUCUCACUCUGCGUGUCCUCGAAUACUCCUGUAUGCCAGGCCUCUUCCGGAUCUGUUAACUGUUGGGCAGCUUAACUUGGAUGGCCCACAAGCAGCUCAGUCUCAUUUACUAAUAUUAAUUUAUCAUUGACCCUAAUGUUGGUACAUGGGCACCAUACUCAUCCUGAUUCUGGGCAACAUUAUUCAAACCAGAAUCUUUUCAGCUUGCCCUGAUCCAUCUUCUGAUU